AAUAAAUGCAGUUUUAGCACUGUUCAUGUUCAACGUUUGACUGUUCGUCUUAUUUGAAAAAAGAUUAUAAUUAGUAUUUUUAUUGUUACUAGAUGAUAAAAUAUGAAUAGUACUUAACGUGUGACUAAUUUUUUAAAUAUUUUUCUUAAAAUUUUCAAAUAAGACGGAUGGUCAAAACGAUAAAUUCGGAUAUCUAUGACUGCACUUAUU
rnacentral:pre_miRNA from 1 species